CCAAGAGACUGCUGUAUGUGCUGAGGCUUCUGCAAGGGGAAAACCUUGGUGACAGAGCAGUCACUAAAUUGGAAAGGCUUGGUAUGAUGAAAAAACUUCAAAGUUGCCCGAUGAUGUAUUUGCUGGCAUUAAAAGGGAAGCUGUUACUAACACACCAGAUGUGCCAUAGAUGAACAUUUCUACGUGAAGACAUAAUUCUGAAAGACAGGUCACUCCCCCAGUCAACAUAAAAGACUUUUUCACAAUCACAUCUCACCGUAAUUGAAAUGAGGUUGGAUGCAUUCCAAGACACAAAGCUGAAGAACAUAAAGAUAUGCUCCCAUAUAGCAUUCAGCAUUCAGCACUCACCUGCAGUCUGGUACUCCAAAAAGUGCAGUAUGCAAACAAGUGAUGGCAUGAAACUGGUGACAUAGGAAAUGGCAGCUGGAAGUUUCUGUUCUUUGUUUACAUCCUGACCAUUACUUAAACAGCUGUACAACUGAAUAAAUAAAACAAAAAGUAUAC